GAGUUUGAUCCUGGCUCAGGAUGAACGCUAGCGGCAGGCUUAACACAUGCAAGUCGAGGGGUAUUUGUCUUUCGGGACAGAGAGACCGGCAAACGGGUGCGGAGCACGUACACAACCUACCUUUAUCAGGGGGAUAGCCCAUAGAAAUGUGGAUUAAUACCCCAUAGUAUUAUGUGAUGGCAUCAUUAUAUAAUUAAAGAUUUUCGGAUAGAGAUGGGUGUGCGUAAGAUUAGCUAGUUGGUAGGGUAACGGCCUACCAAGGCGACGAUCUUUAGCUGAUGUGAGAGCAUGAUCAGCCACACGGGCACUGAGACACGGGCCCGACUCCUACGGGAGGCAGCAGUGAGGAAUAUUGGUCAAUGGACGGAAGUCUGAACCAGCCAUGCCGCGUGAAGGAUGAAGGCGUUCUGCGUUGUAAACUUCUUUUAUCUGGGAAGAAACCACAGAUUUCUAUUUGUGUUGACGGUACCAGAGGAAUAAGCACCGGCUAACUCCGUGCCAGCAGCCGCGGUAAUACGGAGGGUGCGAGCGUUAUCCGGAUUUACUGGGUUUAAAGGGUGCGUAGGCGGGCUAUUAAGUCAGAGGUGAAAUCUCCGGGCUCAACCUGGAAACUGCCUUUGAUACUAUUAGUCUUGAAUUAUGUUGAGGUUGGCGGAAUAUAACAUGUAGCGGUGAAAUGCUUAGAUAUGUUAUGGAACACCGAUUGCGAAGGCAGCUGGCUAAACAUAUAUUGACGCUGAUGCACGAAAGCGUGGGUAGCGAACAGGAUUAGAUACCCUGGUAGUCCACGCCCUAAACGAUGAUUACUCGUCAUUUGUGAUACACAAUANGUGACCNAAGCGAAAGCGUUAAGUAAUCCACC
rnacentral:rRNA from 1 species